CGGGGCUCAUUAGGCAGAGCGGGGUGCCGUGAGGUGCCCGCCGCCGACCCCGGAGGCCGCCUUUGAGCCGAGGGGACGGCUUCAUUAAGCGGCGCUAACAAGGCGUACAAAUGCAGGGCCCGGCAGCUUUCUUGCAAUGCCGGUGCCUUAGCAGGGCGCCCGGCUAAUGAGGGUCACUCAAAGGGGCUGAUCAAAUAUUCAAAUUUCCCGGCACGCCGGGAAACUUUUAUGCAAGGCGAAAGUUGAGGCAACUGAGCUGUGUUUACUAUCCCG
rfam:Loxodonta africana unplaced genomic scaffold scaffold_40, whole genome shotgun sequence.